GGGGGGGGGGGGGGGGGGGGGGGGGGGGGGGGGGGCGGGGGGAGGGGGGGGGGGGGGGGUGCGCGGAGGUGGGCGGGGGACGGGGGAGGAACACGGGGAUAACCUACCUAGAAGACUGGGAGAACUUGGGGACACCGGAGCAGAUACCGGAUAAGAUCUUGAACAGGAGGGUUCAGUAGUGAAAGACGGGUUUGCUGUCACGUAUAGAGGGCUCAGCGCCGCAUUGGCGAGUUGGUAAGGUAACGGCUUACCAAGGCAACGAUGCGUGGCCGACCUGCGAGGGUGAUCGGCCACACUGGAACUGAGCCACGGUCCAGCCUCCUGCGGGAGGCAGCAGUAGGGAAUCUUCCGCACUGGGCGAAAGCCUGACGGAGCAACGCCGCGUGAGUGAUGAAGGUCUUCGGAUCGUAAAACUCUGUUAUUAGGGAAGAACAAAUGUGUAAGUAACUAUGCACGUCUUGACGGUACCUAAUCAGAAAGCCCCGGCUAACUACGUG
rnacentral:rRNA from 1 species